rnacentral:rRNA from 1 species
GACAGAGGUGCCGAGCGUUAGGCGGAAUCACUGGGCUUAAAGCGCGUGUAGGUGGCGGCCUAAGUACCUUGUGAAAUCCUGCGGCUCAACCGCAGAACUGCUUGGUAUACUGGGUCGCUUGAGACAUUCAGGGGCAACUGGAACAAGCGGUGGAGCGGUGGAAUGCGUAGAUAUCGCUUGGAACGCCAAAGGUGAAAACAGGUUGCUGGGGAUGUUCUGACACUGAGACGCGAAAGCCAGGGGAGCGAACGGG